rnacentral:rRNA from 1 species
GAUGAACGCUGGCGGCGUGCUUAACACAUGCAAGUCGAACGGUGAAGCAGAGCUUGCUCUGUGGAUCAGUGGCGAACGGGUGAGUAACACGUGAGCAACCUGCCCUGGACUCUGGGAUAAGCGCUGGAAACGGCGUCUAAUACUGGAUACGAGACGUGGCCGCAUGGUCGACGUUUGGAAAGAUUUUUUGGUUCAGGAUGGGCUCGCGGCCUAUCAGCUUGUUGGUGAGGUAAUGGCUCACCAAGGCGUCGACGGGUAGCCGGCCUGAGAGGGUGACCGGCCACACUGGGACUGAGACACGGGCCAGACUCCUACGGGAGGCAGCAGUGGGGAAUAUUGCACAAUGGGCGAAAGCCUGAUGCAGCAACGCCGCGUGAGGGAUGACGGCCUUCGGGUUGUAAACCUCGUUUAGCAAGGAAGAAGCGAAAGUGACGGUACUUGCAGAAAAAGCGCCGGCUAACUACGUGCCAGCCGCCGCGGUAACAC